rnacentral:rRNA from 1 species
AUCAAAGGAAUCAAGGGCGU